UACAGAGGUCCCAAGCGUUGUUCGGAUUCACUGGGCGUAAAGCGCACGUAGGCGGCUAUUCAAGUCGGGGGUGAAAGCCCGGGGCUCAACCCCGGAACUGCCCUCGAAACUAGAUAGCUAGAAUCUUGGAGAGGCGAGUGGAAUUCCGAGUGUAGAGGUGAAAUUCGUAGAUAUUCGGAAGAACACCAGUGGCGAAGGCGAACUCGCUGGACAAGUAUUGACGCUGAGGUGCGAAAGCGUGGGGAGCAAACAGGGAUUAAGA
rnacentral:rRNA from 1 species